GCACAAGCAGCGGAGCGUGUGGUUUAAUUCGAUGUUACACGAAGAACCUUACCAGGGUUUGACAUGCAAGUGGUAGGAAGCCGAAAGGUGACCGACCCUUCGGGGAGCUUGCACAGGUGCUGCAUGGCUGUCGUCAGCUCGUGUCGUGAGAUGUUCGGUUAAGUCCGCUAACGAGCGCAACCCUCGCUGUGUGUUAUAUGUGUCACACGGGACUGCCGGUCUUAAGCCGGAGGAAGGUGGGGAUGAUGUCAAGUCAGCAUGGCCUUUAUAUCCUGGGCUACACACACGCUACAAUGGCCAACACAAUAGGUUGCUAAGCCGCGAGGUGGAGCCAAUCCUCAAAGUUGGUCUCAGUUCAGAUUGCAGGCUGCAACCCGCCUGCAUGAAGAUGGAGUUGCUAGUAACCGCAGGUCAGCUAUACUGCGGUGAAUACGUUCCCGGGGCUU
rnacentral:rRNA from 1 species